UACAGAGGUCUCAAGCGUUGUUCGGAUUCAUUGGGCGUAAAGGGUGCGUAGGCGGCGCGGUAAGUCGGGUGUGAAAUCUCGGAGCUUAACUCCGAAACUGCAUUCGAUACUGCCGUGCUUGAGGACUGGAGAGGAGACUGGAAUUUACGGUGUAGCGGUGAAAUGCGUAGAUAUCGAGAGGAACACCUGCGGCGAAGGCGGGUUGCUGGGCCGACACUGACGCUGAUGCGCGAAAGCCAGGGGAGCGAACGGG
rnacentral:rRNA from 1 species